AUUGAACGCUGGCGGCAUGCUUUACACAUGCAAGUCGAACGGUAACAGGCCGCAAGGUGCUGACGAGUGGCGAACGGGUGAGUAAUGCAUCGGAACGUGCCCAGUCGUGGGGGAUAACGCAGCGAAAGCUGUGCUAAUACCGCAUACGAUCUAUGGAUGAAAGCGGGGGACCGUAAGGCCUCGCGCGAUUGGAGCGGCCGAUGUCAGAUUAGGUAGUUGGUGGGGUAAAGGCCUACCAAGCCGACGAUCUGUAGCUGGUCUGAGAGGACGACCAGCCAGACUGGGAAUGAGACACGGCCCAGACUCCUACGGGAGGCAGCAGUGGGGAAUCUUGGACAAUGGGCGCAGGCCUGAUCCAGCAAUGCCGCGUGCAGGAAGAAGGCCUUCGGGUUGUAAACUGCUUUUGUACGGAACGAAACGGUCUGGGUUAAUACCCUGGGCUAAUGACGGUACCGUAAGAAUAAGCACCGGCUAACUACGUGACAGCAGCCGCAGUAAGAC
rnacentral:rRNA from 1 species